UACUGCCAUAAACUUUCAGCACUCCAGAGCACUGCCACAGAUCUAGAAGAAAACCACAGCAGCGCCACCCAACACCAAACACUGUCCAUCUACAACUUCAGCCUCCACGUGGUCCACCGGCAUCCGGAUCACCUCUUCCAUCACCACAACAUCCAGCACUCCUUUCUCCACUGCCAUCUCUCCUUCUUCUCCUCUCUCUCUAUGCACUAAUCCAUUCAUCCCACCCACCCACAAGCCCCACGGCUCGCUAUGGAGAAGGUGCAGCACAUGACACGGGCGGCCAUUCGGCGGGCGUCCACCAUGGAGGUUCCCCAACAGGCCAAGCAGAACAUGCAGGAGCUCUUCGUCAACUUCUGCCUCAUCCUCAUCUGCCUGCUGCUCAUCUACAUCAUUGUGUUGCUAAUGUGAGCGGGUUGGGUCUCCCUCUAGCCAAUGAGAGCGAAGGACUGUACAUUGGGGGCCAAUCGCGGCGUUAAGGGGAGUGGGGGGUUAUUAUUUAUAAAGGGUUUAGAGUAGUUGGGUUCUACAAUGCAUUAUUUGUUUGUAAAUAGUACACAUUUAGAGGUUAGGAGGGUAGGGAUAAUAAUAGGCAUUAAUUAUUGGUGUGUUGGAGGAUUUUAAGUGGAUAAAAGAUCUGGCUCAUGAAAUGCAAAUAUAUGUGAUAUAUGAGUAACAUAAUUUAAAUCUGUAAUUUAAUAAAAUUAUGGGCCAAAUAUUAAGGCAGAAUUACAUGAAUACUUUGAAAAAAGAUGGUGAAUAAGGGGAAAACAAUGAGAAGUGCAUACUUUCGGAGUGUAAUUAAACAUUUAAAUCAUUACCGAAAAACAGAAAAAAUGUUACUCUAUCCUUCAGAGAUUUGGGCUCAGUAAGUUUUUUUUAUUU
rnacentral:lncRNA from 1 species